GCAGCGACGCCGCGUGAGGGAUGACGGCCUUCGGGUUGUAAACCUCUUUCAGCAGGGAAGAAGCGAAAGUGACGGUACCUGCAGAAGAAGCACCGGCUAACUACGUGCCAGCAGCCGCGGUAAUACGUAGGGUGCGAGCGUUGUCCGGAAUUAUUGGGCGUAAAGAGCUCGUAGGCGGCCUGUCGCGUCGGAUGUGAAAACUCGGGGCUUAACCCCGAGCCUGCAUUCGAUACGGGCAGGCUAGAGUUCGGCAGGGGAGACUGGAAUUCCUGGUGUAGCGGUGAAAUGCGCAGAUAUCAGGAGGAACACCGGUGGCGAAGGCGGGUCUCUGGGCCGAUACUGACGCUGAGGAGCGAAAGCGUGGGGAGCGAACAGGAUUAGAUACCCUGGUAGUCCACGCCGUAAACGUUGGGAACUAGGUGUGGGCGACAUUCCACGUCGUCCGUGCCGCAGCUAACGCAUUAAGUUCCCCGCCUGGGGAGUACGGCCGCAAGGCUAAAACUCAAAGGAAUUGACGGGGGCCCGCACAAGAGGCGGAGCAUGUGGCUUAAUUCGACGCAACGCGAAGAACCUUACCAAGGCUUGACAUACACCGGAAACAUCUGGAGACAGGUGCCCCUUUUGG
rnacentral:rRNA from 1 species